CCAACAGGGAUUGCCUCAGUAACGGCGAGUGAAGCGGCAACAGCUCAAAUUUGAAAUCUGGCACCCUCGGGGCCCGAGUUGUAAUUUGCAGAGGGUGCUUUGGCGUUGGCUGUGGUCUAAGUUCCUUGGAACAGGACGUCGCAGAGGGUGAGAAUCCCGUAUGUGGCCGCCAGCCUCCGCCGUGUAAAGCCCCUUCGACGAGUCGAGUUGUUUGGGAAUGCAGCUCUAAAUGGGAGGUAAAUUCCUUCUAAAGCUAAAUACUGGCCAGAGACCGAUAGCGCACAAGUAGAGUGAUCGAAAGAUGAAAAGCACUUUGGAAAGAGAGUCAAAAAGCACGUGAAAUUGUUGAAAGGGAAGCGCUU
rnacentral:rRNA from 1 species